UACGAAGGGUGCAAGCGUUACUCGGAAUCACUGGGCGUAAAGCGCACGUAGGUGGGUCGUUAAGUCGGGGGUGAAAUCCUGGAGCUCAACUCCAGAACUGCCUUCGAUACUGGCGAUCUUGGAGUCCGGGAGAGGUGAGUGGAACUGCGAGUGUAGAGGUGAAAUUCGUAGAUAUUCGCAAGAACACCAGUGGCGAAGGCGGCUCACUGGCCCGGUACUGACACUGAGGUGCGAAAGCGUGGGGAGCAAACAGG
rnacentral:rRNA from 1 species